GGUAACGUGGCCGAGUGGCUAGGCAGAGCUCUGCAAAAGCUCGUACAGCGGUUCGAAUCCGCUCGUUACCUCAA
rnacentral:tRNA from 1 species